rnacentral:rRNA from 1 species
AACGCGUGAGCAACCUGCCCCUGUCAGGGGUAUAGCCCCUCGAAAGAGGGAUUAACACCGCAUGAGACAGUAUUCCCGCAUGGGAUAGCUGUUAAAUAUUCAUAGGACAGGGAUGGGCUCGCGUGGCAUUAGCUAGUUGGUAGGUAACGGCUUACCAAGGCGACGAUGCCUAGGGGCUCUGAGAGGAGAAUCCCCCACACUGGUACUGAGACACGGACCAGACUCCUACGGGAGGCAGCAGUAAGGAAUAUUGGUCAAUGGGCGGAAGCCUGAACCAGCCAUGCCGCGUGCAGGAUGACUGCCCUAUGGGUUGUAAACUGCUUUUGUCCAGGAAUAAACCUCUUACGUGAGAGAGCUGAAUGUACUGGAAGAAUAAGGAUCGGCUAACUCCGUGCCAGCAGCCGCGGUAAUACGGAGGAUCCGAGCGUUAUCCGGAUUUAUUGGGUUUAAAGGGUGCGUAGGCGGCCUUUUAAGUCAGGGGUGAAAGACGGUGGCUCAACCAUCGCAGUGCCCUUGAUACUGAAGGGCUUGAAUUGCUGAGGUAGGCGGAAUGUGACAAGUAGCGGUGAAAUGCAUAGAUAUGUCACAGAACACCGAUUGCGAAGGCAGCUUACCAAACUAUGAUUGACGCUGAGGCUCGAAAGCGUGGGGAUCGAACAGGAUUAGAUACCCUGGUAGUCCACGCCCUAAACGAUGAUAACUCGAUGUUGGCGAUAUACAGUCAGCGUCCAAGCGAAAGCGUUAAGUUAUCCACCUGGGGAGUACGCCCGCAAGGGUGAAACUCAAAGGAAUUGACGGGGGCCCGCACAAGCGGAGGAGCAUGUGGUUUAAUUCGAUGAUACGCGAGGAACCUUACCCGGGCUUGAAAGUUACUGAAUUAUCAGAGAUGGAUAGUCCUUCGGGACAGGAAACUAGGUGCUGCAUGGCUGUCGU